UGUCACUGGGUCUAAAGGCUGACUCAACUGGUGUAAUGCAGGAGAAGGCUUCUGGAGGAUCAUGAUGAGGGUCUGUGCCCCCAGCCCCUCUCUGACCACAGCGUGUACCCUGUUCUCUUUAAAAGGCAAAGUGCACUGCAGUUGGUCCCGGGAGCUCUAAGAAUAAACGGGCCGAAGCAGAUAAGGUUACCUUAAAGACCCCAUCGCUCCUCUCUGUUCUAUACGAAGGCAGGCGGACCAUUAUUCUGUGGUCAGCUAACAUCACCUUUCACCACGGCCGGUCCUGGUUGCUUUGCUUCCCUGCGUUUUUCGUUUUUUUUUUUUUUUUUGCUUAGCUGGGAUUAUGCUGCAUCUGUAAACUAACAGCAAACCAAGGACUUUAUGCCAGCACUUUUUGAAAAAUUGUAGCAAAAUUCACUCGCAAAAAAUUCCGGUACUUUGUUUUAUGGAUUUUUUAGGGCACAAGUGAGCUAAGGCUCUCUGGAAGAGUUUGCUUCUGGAAAACAAGAGGAUCUGUAUAUAAACAGGACUGACAAGGAGAAGCUUUUAUCUCAUUUAAACACCAGGGUUUACAGUCACCAUGACUGAAGCUGCAGCAGAAGAUGUGUUUCAGGUGCCAGCACCUGUUGUUGACCUAGACACUGAGAAAACCACAGAGAGCAAAGGCCUGCUGACUUUGAGAUCACCUUGGCCAUGGCUGGCCAUCCUCACACUUAUCUUCCUUGGGUCAACGGCCGCCAUCAUGUUCGACCUGGUCAGCUACAGAAGACUUACAGGAGAAAUGAGUGAAAUGUAUUUUGACCCCAUGGAACUCGUCAGUGAAGCAAUGGAUGAAUUCUCAAACAUUACAAAAGAAUCCUUAAUCUCUCUGUACAGUAUCCUACUAGAAGAAGAAGAUUUAGGUCCUAAACUACAUUCGGUGAGGAGGAAAGGCGAGUUUCUUCCGCCAAAGAAGGAAGAUAUAUGGUUCAGAAAACCUGCCCAGGACCAGGAAGACAGAAAAGAAAAAAGGCCUACAAAACCUGAGAAGUCAGAAGAAGAGGAAGUUCAGAAGGUCAUAGAAAAAGUGAAACCAACUGUAGAAUUUAUAGUGGAGAAACCACCACAGGCUGAACUCAAGGAACUGGAGAAACAAAUUACAGCAGAAGAAAAGAAGAUGCCUCCAAAGAAACAGGAGAAGGAGAUGGUAGUCCCUCAUAAGGAAAAAACAGAGAAGGCAAAGAAACCAGAGAAAGACAAAGUCAUCCUAUUUCAGGAAAAAAAGAAGGAAAAGGUGGUUCCAUCUGAAGAGAAACCAGAGAAAGCAAAAGAAUUAAAGAAAGACAAGGUGGCGCGAUUUAAGGAAAAACCUGAGAGGAUAAAGAAACCAGAGAAGGACAAGAUGGUCCCACCUGAGGAAAAACUAGAGAAGGAAAAGGAGCAAAAGGAGAAGAUGGUCCCACCUCAGGAAAAGCCAGAGAGGGAAAAGAAGCAAAAGGAAAAGAUAGCCCCACCUGAGGAAAAACCAAAAAAGGUAAAGAAACCAGACAAGGAGAAAGUGGUCCCAUCUGAGAAAAAAUCAGAGAAGGCAAAAAAACUAGCAACAGAAACAAUGGUCCCACCUGAAGAAAAACCAGAGAAGGUCAAAAAGCCAGAGAAAGAGAAGGUGGUCCCACCUGAUGAAAGACUAGAGAAGGCAAAGAAGCCAGAGAAGAAGAAGGCGGACCUACCUGAGGAAAAACCAGAGAAGGAAAUGGUGCAAAAGGAGAAGGUGGUCCCACCUAAGGAAAAAUCAGAGAAGAUAAAGAAACCAGAGAAAAAGCAAAUGGUUCCAUCUGAGGAAAAACCAAAGAAGGCAAAACAACCAGCAGAAGCAACAAGGGUCCCACCUGAAGAAAAACCAGUGAGGACAAAGAAGGCAGAAAGGAAGGUGGUAUCACCUGAGGAAAAACCAGAGAAGGAAACAGAGCAAAAAGAGAAGGUGCUCCCACCUGAGGAAGAAACAGAGAAGGUAAAGAAACCAGAGAAGGAAAAGAUGGUUCUAUCUGAGGAAAAACCAGAGAAAGCCAAAAAGCCAGUAAAGGAAGAAGUGAUCCAACCUGAAGAACAACCAGUGAGGGCAAAGAUGCCAGAGAAGGAGAAAGUGGUCCCACCUGAGAAAAAAUCAGAAAAGGAAAAAAAAACUGAGAAGAAGAAGGUGGUAUCAUCUGAGGAAAAACCAGUGAAGGAAAAGAAGCCAGAGGAGAAAGUGGUCCCACGUGAAAAAAAAACCACUGAAGGAAAAAAAACCAGAGAAGGUAGUUCGACCUGAGGGAAAACUAGAAAAGCCAAAGAAACCAGAAGAGAAAGUUUUCC
rnacentral:lncRNA from 1 species